rnacentral:lncRNA from 1 species
CCACUCCCUUACAUAAUGUUGAACGCUACCACAUAUGCGGCGGGUGUUGUUGAGGCGAUAGCAGGGUCGAUCCCUUUGAUCCUUACUACAAUGCUAACAGAUCUUGUCAUGUCCUGCUGCUGGAACUUGAGGGGGAGCCUGAGUCAUCGGUCUGGAUCUCUUGUUCUGUUGACCAGGUGCGGUAGGUACUGGUCUGCGGUGUGGAGCU